CUUAAUUGUACAGGGAUCAGUGUGUAAAUUAUUCAUAUUUUAUUCAAAAAUCUCAAAAUAUUUUAAAACCCAGGGGGGGCCAUGGCACCCUUUAGUCUUACAUGGCGUCCGCCCCUGAAUGAGGUUCAAGUUUAGGUUGGAUUGGAGUAGUUAUAAGAAACUCGAGGGAAGAGCUUGUGGCCAUUUUAACAAUAUUGGAAGGCAUCAAGUUGGCAAUGGACUUGGGGCUUACUCCACUUGUGAUUGAGUCAGAUUUAAUUAUAGUGGCAAUUUGGAGAAUGAUUGGGUGUCAAUUAAUAUUAGAACUCUCAUUUAUAACAGAAGUUUGUUUAUUGUGAAACAUGUACCGAGGUCUUGUAACUUAGUGUAUUGAGGUCUUGUAACUUAGUGUAUUGAGGUCUUGUAACUUAGUGGUUCACAAUGUUGUUAAGAUGGCUCUCGAACAAUCAGAGUUGUGUACGGUCAUGUUUGGGAGCAGGACAAAGUGUGCGAUUAGACUAAUUGUUUGGAUAAUAUAUCUAAUCACAUGUUUGGCAAACACAUUAAGAUUAGAUUAAGUGGACUAAAUUUAAAUUUAGUCCUACAAUUAUAUAAUUAGUUAUCCUCAUUUUCACACGGGUUUAAGGAGUAUUAGCAAUGUUUUAUUUGUUUAUCCUUUAUGAUUUCUUUUUAUUUGUUUUG
rnacentral:lncRNA from 1 species